GAAAAGGCUCAGAAACACCACCUCACAGCCACAGAAGCCCUGGGCUACCUGAUAUAAGCUGCAAAGGCUAAGACUUUAGCCACUACCUUAACAUAUCCAUGCAUGACACAAGAGAAGCAAUACCACCUACCUUGCAGAAAUAAGGGAGAGCCUGCAAGCACCAAACAACUGUGAAAUAAUAAGGACUACACCCUCUACCUCCCAUGUGCUCCUCCUAGCUACCCACAAGAGAAAGUAACUGGCUUAAAAGAGCUGAGGAUUAACCUAACACACCUGGGUACCACCUGCUGCUUUACUGGCUCCAGCUCACAGAUCUGUGACAAGCUGGGCGCUUGACAGCAACAUCCCUUUGAAAUACCAGAUUUGCUAAGGGUUUGGAAAAGCCUUGCUCUAGCACAAGCUCCCCCCACUCCUUCCUCCUUCCCUCCCCACCCUACCCUGCUGAACCGCAGCACCAGAGUGGCAGAACCUGAUGCUGGAGGAGAGUGAAGGAGGCAGCCACUGCCAGCCAUCAUCCAGCUCCCUCCUCCCUGAUGCCAUCCCUGAGCAGCACAGCCCCUGCCUCUGUGAAGGCUCAGGCCUGGGGGAGCAUGGCAGGAUGGGCAAAAUGAGAUGAUGCUGCCCAGGAAUCGGUUUGUAAAAUCCAUCCAGCAGGAGAGGUGUUGUCACAGGAGGGAAAAGGAGCAAGGAGCCAAGAAGCUUCAGCACCGAAAGGAGCAGCUGUGGCGGAAGGCAGCACUUGGAGUGAUCUCAUGAAUCAGCCAUGACAUUAUCUGCAGUGAAAUGCCUGGGAAGGGGUUUCCCAUGUCCUACCCUGACCUGCAAGGUUGACUCCAUGGGGGCCUGAAGGGCAUUUUGAUUGCCAAAGACAAAGGCUAAAUCAGGAGGAAAUGAUAUUUUAUUUAACCUCUGCGUCGAGGUGGGGGCCCGAGGGGAGGGCAGAGGCAGGGGGGCGGUGACAGAGGCGUGGGGAUAAUGCUGGGGGAUUCACAGCAGAUAACUGUAA
ensembl:lncRNA